rnacentral:lncRNA from 1 species
GCUGGGUCCACCUGCCUGGCUCACUCAGGGAGAGGGCACCCCACCCACCUGCCCCAGGUGUUUAGAGAGGUGUUUCCUCCACAGUACUCCAUGGGGCACAGGUUUAUCGCCCAGGUGGGACUGUCAACAUUCCAAACUCAGGUUGUACAUCGGAGGGGUUUCUGACAAGGCAGGAAAGGCAUCACAAGGAGGGGACACAAUGGCAAACCCUGGAUUUGUCCUUGCUCAGGAAUCAGUCCUUGCUGUGGGACCCGGGGCAAAGGUCUCCCCUCCGCCCGCAGCCUUCCGCCAGGAAAGAGAAGCGAUUACGACUUUCAGAGGGCGACCGAAAUAAAGACGACAUGUAAAAGAAGAUGUCUGAGUCGGUCUGUGGCCGGCAACCCACUUCUGAUCUCACCACUCAAGUAUUCAGCCUGCAUUGGCAUGAAUCUUAAUUCAUUAUGAUCACAUGAAAGUCACUGAACCUGAGGGAGCUGUGAGUGCCAGGAUGCUGAACGUGGGGAAGAUUCCACUCUCACCUGGAUAUCAAAACCACAUGGGU